rnacentral:lncRNA from 1 species
GGGCAAAUAGCCGUAUAUGGAGUAAGGUUCCAGCAUAAGCGUAGGAUAGUAUAAAGGGAGCAAGUCGGUUGUGGUGUGCCGAGACCGACGAUACGGUAGGCCUGUAAAUAAAGAGGGCCCACCAAGGAGUAAGUAAGUAAAGUAAAUGGAAAGAAAAGAGAAAGUGUUGAAAUGAGGAGUGGGUGGGAGGGUCAUUCUGAUGCUGACCUCAAGCAAUAUGAGUCAGGUAAG